ACCUAGAUGGCUGAGUUUAAGCAUUAGAUUUUUAAUCUAAAGACAGUUAAUAUGUUAACUUCUAGGUG
rnacentral:tRNA from 1 species